AAACCCAGCUGCUACUAGCAGUUAUUCAUGAGUGAAUACAUAGCUCAUGUAAAGGUAACGCAGAGAACUGAAACAUCUAAGUACCUGCAGGAAGAGAAAGUAAAAACGAUUUCGUAAGUAGCGGCGAGCGAACGCGAAGAAGGGCAAACCAAGAAGCUUGCUUCUUGGGGUUGUAGGACUGCAACGUGGACUUAAGCAUUAUAGUCGAAUAACCUGGGAAGGUUAAUCAAAGAGGGUAAUAAUCCCGUAGACGAAAUAGCGCUUAUACCUAGCAGUAUCCUGAGUAGGGCUGGACACGCGAAAUCCAGUUUGAAUCCGGGAGGACCAUCUCCCAACCCUAAAUACUCCUUAGUGACCGAUAGUGAACCAGUACCGUGAGGGAAAGGUGAAAAGAACCCCGAGAGGGGAGUGAAAUAGCACCUGAAACCGUGUGCCUACAAGAAGUUCGAGCCCGUUAAUGGGUGAGAGCGUGCCUUUUGUAGAAUGAACCGGCGAGUUACGUUAUGAUGCGAGGUUAAGUUGAAGAGACGGAGCCGUAGGGAAACCGAGUCUGAAUAGGGCGACUUAGUAUCAUGAUGUAGACCCGAAACCUAGUGACCUAUCCAUGAGCAGGGUGAAGGUGUGGUAAGACGCACUGGAGGCCCGAACCAGGACACGUUGAAAAGUGUUUGGAUGACUUGUGGAUAGCGGAGAAAUUCCAAACGAACUGGGAGAUAGCUGGUUCUCUCCGAAAUAGCUUUAGGGCUAGCGUCGAAAUGUAAGUGUAUUGGAGGUAGAGCACUGUUUGGGUGAGGGGUCCGUCUAGGAUUACCAAUCUCAGAUAAACUCCGAAUGCUAAUACACAUGUUCGGCAGUCAGACUGCGAGUGCUAAGAUCCGUAGUCGAAAGGGAAACAGCCCAGACCAACAGCUAAGGUCCCAAAAUAUAUGUUAAGUGGAAAAGGAUGUGGGGUUGCACAGACAACUAGGAUGUUAGCUCAGAAGCAGCUAUCAUUCAAAGAGUGCGUAAUAGCUCACUAGUCGAGUGACCCUGCGCCGAAAAUGUACCGGGGCUAAACAUAUUACCGAAGCUUUGGAUUGAUAUUUUAUCAAUGGUAGGAGAGCGUUCUUAACCGCGAUGAAGGUAUACCGUGAGGAGUGCUGGAGCGUUAAGAAGUGAGAAUGCCGGUAUGAGUAGCGCAAGAUAAGUGAGAAUCUUAUCCACCGUAAGACUAAGGUUUCCAGGGGAAGGCUCGUCCGCCCUGGGUUAGUCGGGACCUAAGGCGAGGCCGAAAGGCGUAGUCGAUGGACAACUGGUUGAUAUUCCAGUACUAGAUAUGAUCGUGAUGGAGGGACGCAGUAGGCUAAGAGAUGCCAGUUAAUGGAUUCUGGUCUAAGCAGUGAGGUGUGAGAUGUGUCAAAUGCAUUUCUCUUUAACAUUGAGCUGUGAUGGGGAAGCAACUACGGUUGCGAACUCUCUGAUGUCACACUGCCAAGAAAAGCUUCUAGCGUAAAGUCAUAUCUACCCGUACCGCAAACCGACACAGGU
rnacentral:rRNA from 1 species